rnacentral:rRNA from 1 species
GACGAACGCUGGCGGCGUGCUUAACACAUGCAAGUCGAACGGAAAGGCCCCUUUGGGGGUACUCGAGUGGCGAACGGGUGCGUAACACGUGAGUAACCUGCCCUUGACUUCGGGAUAACGUCAGCAAACUGGGGCUAAUACCGGAUAGGAAUCCUUGCUGCAUGGGGGGGGUUGGAAAGCUUCGGCGGUUUUGGAUGGACUGGCGGCUUAUCAGCUCGUUGGUUGGGUAGGGGCUUACCAAGGCGUUGGCGGGUAGCCGGCCUGGGAGGGCGACCGGCCACAAUGGUACUGAGAUACGGCCCAGACUCCUACGGGAGGCAGCAGUGGGGAAUAUUGCGCAAUGGGGGGACGCCUGAUGCAGAAACCCCGCGUGCGGAAUGACGGCCUUCGGGUUGUAAACCGCUUUCAGCAGGGGCGAAGCUUUUGUGACGGUACCUGCAGAAGAAGCACCGGCUAACUACGUG